rnacentral:rRNA from 1 species
GUGCCAGCAGCCGCGGUAAUACGUAGGUCCCGAGCGUUGUCCGGAUUUAUUGGGCGUAAAGCGAGCGCAGGCGGUUAGAUAAGUCUGAAGUUAAAGGCUGUGGCUUAACCAUAGUACGCUUUGGAAACUGUUUAACUUGAGUGCAAGAGGGGAGAGUGGAAUUCCAUGUGUAGCGGUGAAAUGCGUAGAUAUAUGGAGGAACACCGGUGGCGAAAGCGGCUCUCUGGCUUGUAACUGACGCUGAGGCUCGAAAGCGUGGGGAG